UGCAAUGAUGGAACUUAAUAUCUCGUUAAUCUGAACGAGUAUGAAUGAGUAUCCUCUUCAAUCCAUUCUCUGAGC